rnacentral:rRNA from 1 species
GUGGGGAAUUUUGGACAAUGGGCGAAAGCCUGAUCCAGCAAUGCCGCGUGAGUGAAGAAGGCCUUCGGGUUGUAAAGCUCUUUCAGUUGAGAAGAAAAAAACGUGAAUAAUACUCACGUUUCAUGACGGUAUCAACAGAAGAAGCACCGGCUAACUACGUGCCAGCAGCCGCGGUAAUACGUAGGGUGCGAGCGUUAAUCGGAAUUACUGGGCGUAAAGGGUGCGCAGGCGGUUCUGAAAGUCAGAUGUGAAAUCCCUGGGCUUAACCUAGGAAUUGCGUUUGAAACUACAGGACUAGAGUGUGGCAGAGGGGGGUGGAAUUCCAUGUGUAGCAGUGAAAUGCGUAGAGAUAUGGAAGAACAUCGAUGGCGAAGGCAACCCCCUGGGUUAACACUGACGCUCAGGCACGAAAGCGUGGGGAGCAAACAGGAUUAGAAACCCGAGUAGUCC